UACGUAGGUGGCGAGCGUCAUCCGGAAUUAUUGGGCGUAAAGAGCGCGCAGGUGGUUAAUUAAGUCAGGUGUGUAAACCGCAGGCUUAACCUGAGGAUUGCACCUGAUACUGGAUAACUUGAGUGCAGGAGAGGGCAGUGGAAUUCCUAGUGUAGCGGUGAAAUGCGUAGAUAUUAGGAGGAACACCAGUGGCGAAGGCGGCUGCCUGGACUGCAACUGACGCUGAGGCGCGAAAGCGUGGGGAGCAAACAGGA
rnacentral:rRNA from 1 species